CGCCUGUUUAUCAAAAACAUUUCCACUUAUAUAAUGAGAGGUAUAACCUGCCCGGUGUAAAAUCAACGGCUGCGGUAUAUUGACUGUGCUAAGGUAGCAUAAUAAUUUGUUAUUUAAUUAGUAGCUGGAAUGAAAGGUUGAACUGAUUUUUUAGUUUGUUUAAUAAAUUAAAAAAUUAAAGUUAAGGUAAAAAUUCUUUAAUCUUCUAGGGGACGAUAAGACCCUAGAAGCUUAAUAAAUAUAAAUGUUUUUUAGUCGGUAAAAAAAUUUUUAUUUUACUGGGGCGGUAUUAGUAUUUAAACUAUAUUACAAAUAGUAGAUCCUUUAGAUAAAGAAAGAAUGGAAAAGUUACUCUAGGGAUAACAGUGCAAUAUUUUUGGAGAGAUCUUAUCGAUAAAUAUGUUUGCAACCUCGAUGUUGAAUUAGGAUAUCUACAUGGAGCAGAAAAUAUAGUAGAGGGUUUGUUCAACCUUUAAAAUUCUACAUGAUCUGAGUUCAAACCGGAG
rnacentral:rRNA from 1 species